UAGUAUGAAAGACUAUGAGCUGUCAAACUGUUUUUGGCAGGAGCAGUAAGGAGUGGCAGGGGAGACGAGCAGCAUAUGGAUGUAUUAAGCACUGUGUCAGCUCCAGGCUAUUGAUGAAGAAGCAUAGCAUUGCAAAUAGAUCUUUUCACCUUUCCUUCAUUGAACUUCUCAUCUGUAUGUGUACUAUGUGAUUAAAAGAUGGCAGUGAAGGGGGGAAACAAAAUGCAGCAGCAGUGAGAAUGAAAUACAAGCUUAGAAAAACACACCCCUAGAAAAAUUACAUUUUUCCUCUGAAACCUCCUCUUCCAACAAAUACAAGCUUCAAUUAACCUUUGACCUGGACCCAGCAUGGAGAAUGAGAAUGAAAAGAUCAUUGAUAUGAGAGGUCCACAGGUUAGAAUCUUGCAGAAUUUUGAAAAUUUCAACUCUGAUGAACAAGCAUGGGAAAAUGAUCUCCUAAUGCCUAAACUUCAACGCAACAUUAGGCUGAUUCUUGAACGGGCCCAAGCUAAAAGGCGUGACAUAGAAAGUAUUUUAAGAAAUGAAAUUGAGAAAUUGGGUGAGUUGCAGAAGCUCCACGCUGAGGGAGUUAGCAAGAGAAGGAAUCUUGAUAAUCUGAAAGUUAUUUUAGCUGUAUUAAAGCGCAUAGAGAGUGCAUCAGGUACCCUUACUCUUCACUCCCUCGCGAGCAAAUUUGAGCAGUUGAGGGAAGAUUACCUCAUGGAGUUCUGGGAGCAUGAUUUUUCUGCCGUCGCAUUUUCCCACGCUCACCCUCUGUUUGAGCAACUAUUUGACGGAUGGGAUCCACUUCAAACUCCAACUCAUGGGGUGGAGGUGGUUUCGUUGUGGAAGAAUCUUCUUGACGAUGAUGACCUUUACACUCACCUAUUCAUGGAAAUUGUAUUCCCUGCCAUAUCAAAAUUCUGCACCAAUACCUGUCAUGAGACCGACCCUACACUCAUGGUUCGAUUCUUGGACUCUUGGGAGAAACUCUUGCCCCCAGCCGCCCGUCAUAUCAUACCGAAGAAACAAGUGCGGCCCCCAACCGCCCGUCUGAGAGGAACUCCCCCCUUUUUCCUCUAGUGGUGACACUUAAUAUGUUUAGUUACAUUGUUUCCACUAGUGGCGACAUAUGUUUAGCAGCCGUCUGUGUUUUACAUACUUCUUGUUGUUGUUUUAGUUCUUAAUUUGUCGAUUUAGUACUGUUGGUUUGACACCACAGCUUAGAGGCUUAGUACGCUUCAUAUGUUUAGCAACCCGUCUAUAUUUUACAUAUUUCUUCUUGUUCUUAAUCGUUCUUCCUUUUCAAUAUGAAGAAGUACUAGUAGAUUUUUAGUAGUCUGUCUAGUAGAUUUUCUUACUAAUGUCAUAUGUACGUGUGUGUUCUUUUCUUGUUUCUCAUUUGAAUUCGUAAAAGGGUGUUUUAUGAUUGUUAUAGACUAAUAUUAUUAGAACAUAAGUGUAUUCACUUGAACUUGGAAUCUGUUUAGCAGUUAUGGGCACUGGAACUUAGUGGAGCUUCAACAUGUACAGAACUAAUGUAUAUGGCAUUCGUGGUUUGUCUUUUGUACAUGCAUAAUUGGGAUAAAACUUUCGUUUUUUGUUGUACUGAUUAAUGCAUUGCUUAUUUCCUUUCACUUUCAAAGUGUUGCAAACACUUCUUUUGUGUGGAUUAGAAAGUUACAAAUGACAAUAAGGUCAUAUUGUUCUCCUUUCUUGGUGUCACCGGCUUUUGUUAUCCAUCGUUCUAAGGAUGUUCACACUGUCUACUUUUUACCUUCUUAGCUUUUCCCAAUGGAUAGACCAGAAACUUAAUGAACUUGCGGUCUGAGCAGCAAAAAAUUGGUAAAUUGGGUGGAGAUUUGUUGACGUCAGGAUUGCUGAAGUCAUUAAUUAUAUGACAUAUCAACACAAAUCAGUUGGUUCUGGUUUCAUAUCGGCUUUUGUAGACUGAGAAUAGAUAAGAGGAGUUUGAGAUGAAUCUUUAAAAGAAUCUUGAAAGACAAAACAAGGGUUAGUGGCUAUGUAUUUUCUGUGGACAUUGAUAUGCUACAGGGUGAAGUUGAGAGGAAGAAUCAGGAACUAAAGACUGCAGACUCACUAGUUGACCUUUAUUUGAUUGUAGCUGUUGGUAUCAUAUAUGUUCAAAUUUUAUUACAAAGAUGACCUGCACAGGGGUUUUUGGAAGUAUAGAUGAACGAAACAAGAGGCUCAAGCCGAUCAAACUGGAAAAGGAUAAUCUGAAGGCAAAGAUUCUCUGUUAAAUUCCAACUUCACAUUGCAUGGUUAGCUUUUUGCUAAUAUGGUGAUUUUGUUAUAGGUCCAAGAUAAGUAUUGGACUACACUUGAGGAUGAAGCAACACCAUUGGAACAACUACUAAGUAAACAAAACACCUAUCUUUCCAAGCAAGAAGAGUACUUGAAGAAAAUCCCGGAACUGGUUAUUUAUCUCUUGACACCUUUUGAGACGUAUCGUUCUUCUAUAAUUUGCGUAUAACCUGUUUGGCAUUUGAUUUUUAUUUUAUUGUUUGUUUGGUAGAUCUGUUCUUCGCUUUUCAGGGCUAGAAGCCAGAAACAUGCAGAUAUGCAUACAACCAUUAGUGAUGUAACAAUCAUAAACUGUGAAUUAAAAGGCGAAAUUGUAAGGUGGAGAAGAGGUGAAUUCUCGGGAGGUAUUUGUUCAUACUUGUGUAUUUCUGCAUAUUUAAGAAUGAGGGUUAGAAUUGCCUUAUCUAUGCUUCAUGAAAGAAAAAUCUAAAGACCUGCUACCUUUUCCAUGUUGCCGUCGACACCCUUCUAACAUAAUGGUGCUGAACUGGAUGCCGCUGAUGAGAAAAUGAAGGAACUUAUAUCAGAUUUGGAUACGAGGAAAAAUGAAUGCAUGUUCAAGGGCAUAUCUAAACAUUUCCAUCAAGUUUUCUCUCAACUUGUGCGAGGAGGUCACAGUUUCUUAGGUAUGAUGACGAAAGAGGUUUGUUUUGUUUGUUGCGUAGCAUUUUAUGCGUCUAUUCCAUUGGGCAAUAUUGCUCUUUGCUCAUUUUCAUAGUUCUUCUUGUUCAGUUCCAAGCGCUCAUUAUAACUUGCAAUGAACAGAUCCGAUAAGUCUCUUGGAAAGUCAACUAUAUGUUACACAGAUGAGUUAUUCUAAAAGUAUUGAGAUCAUCAUCACAGGUGAAUAUGUAAACAAAGAGCAAAUAUAGACUUAUAAGAAUUUUCUUUAGUUUUGGAAAUAAAAAUGUCUCAGUGAGAGUAUUCAAUAUGGUUACUAUAAAAAAAAAGGUUAAUAUAUAUGUCUAAGUACCUCUCCUCAGUGGAAGGUGAAUUAUGUUGUGCGAGGAAUGACAACCAUUCCUUUCCUCUACUUGGUCAUUGAAACUCAUUACUGAAUUUGACUGAUGUUAGUGUGCACAAGAUACAGAAGCUCAAUAAUAGUGCUCACCAAAUUAUUUGAAAAGAAAAACUUGAAGAACAACAGACUAAUAGGAUUAGCAAUGUAAGAAAGAGGAAGAGUCUUUGGUUGGUAAUGCAAGUCAAAUGUGAUAGGAAACGUCAGUGAACUUGACUGCUAGUUCUUAAUUUUGUUGUUGUUGUACUUUCGAAAUAUUUAUGCCCGAUAAUAUGCACUUUUGGAUUACAUUUCUCUAAGGCUAGUUUGUUCCUCAUUUUCAAUUUGGUGUCAUUUCUUUAAUGCAUGUGUUCUCAUUUUACUCAUACAAUCUUCGUCAGUAUGAAAUGCGAGGUCGAAUAUUCCUUUUCCUCAUCUUCGUUUCCUGUUGUUUAAUUUGAAAAGCUGAAAACAGGAAAAACUCAAAACCUUGCCAUACUUUAUGAUAUGUUUAACAUCACUCCUUUUUGCUGUCUUUCUCUAAUUAAUGACUAUCAUUAAAGUUGCUUAGACCUCUGAUUAAUUCUUGGAUCAUUUUCUCUUUCCUUUAGUCUUUUAUCUCGAUAAUAAAGACUUCAAAUUAAAAUGAUUAUACAUAUAUAAUCAAACAAUGUAAUGCUUCUCUGCUAUGGCUAUUUGGUGCUUGACUUUUGUAUGACAGGAUGAAGUCAAGAAAUCGCAAUUGGUGGUCCGAGAAACAUCUGCCUGAUAUGACCAUUGUAGCAGGAUAACGAUGAUUCUGAUGACAAUGAGCUUCGUGCAGCUGAUAUGGAGGAAGGAUUGAGAAAUAUAUAUUGAUGUGAAAUUCAAGGCAUGUAUUUCUUGCUGUUUUAUAUCCUGCUUUCCUUCUUCUCUCUCUACUGUCUCCAUGUAUACCUCCUUGUUUCCUUUUACUAUAAUUUGCUAGAUAUGUUUAUAUGUAUAUAUACAUGUGUAUGUAUGCAUAUAUCUAUACAGUAUAUUCAGGCUAAGUCUAAGAGUAGGUGAGGUGACACCUCUCUUAGACCAGGCAUUUGCACUUAUAUGUUUUCAAAAUUUUGCCUUUUCUCCUUUUUAAAAUUAUGAUAAAAGAUGUUCCACUUAAAAAACCAACCGUCCCAUCUUUAAUUAUCCCUGAACCGUCAUUUCGUUUAAACCUCUUUCAUUCCAAUAUCAGAAUGAAAAAGGUGCUGCUCAGGCUAAGUUCCUACAGAUUUUCAAUAAACAUGCAAUGUCCAGUCAAUUACCUGAAACUAAAUCGAGCAGGAUCACAAAGAAAACAAUAAUUCUUUCAAUGGAUUUUGUACAAUAUUUAAUCCCGUUGAAUGAACGGGGAGUGUUCCACAAAAAGUUAGGUGAAGUGUGAUAUUCAGGGACAAGUCGCUGGAGGGAAUGGAGGACGCUGGGCGCAGGGCACAGAGUGGACAGUGAUGAAUGGACGAAGGAGGUAACGUUUGAUUGGCAUUUCAUGUAUCGCUGUAUUCUGGCGUUUCACCAGAAAGAGGGCUUCCUAUUCUUUUUCCUACUCACCCAAGGUAGAUCUCCUCUUUCUGGUUUUGAGAUUUGUUGGUUUUCUUCAUGUUUGGUUGUUUUUUUGGUGUAUCUCUGUAUCUGUUUUCUGGAUGUUCUGCCUGAUGUUAGGUUCGUGGUAGCAUUAUAUUGCAUCUUUUGGUUAUUAAGGAAUAUGGGAGCCUUUUGGGUUAUUAACAAGGUGUUCCCAGGAAAUUCCUACAGAUAGCGGUUAUAUUCUUUAGGACCUUCUUGGGCAAAAUGAAGAUGGAGGACCAAGAGGAAUGGAUGUGCAUCAACACUGAAUUCACACGUAGAACUCUUCUAGCAUAGGAAAGGAACUUUUUAUCCUGGCACACACUAGCAUUUUUCUUGAUGAUAUUGGUACACCCAAGUAUCUGAAUGGGAGUGCCAUUUUCUUAUAUCCAGUUAGCUCACAUAGAUCAUCAAUACUGUGUCUAUCCAUAUUUGCACUAUAAUAAUGUUGGACUUAGCUGCAUUUGUGGUUAAACCUGAUCAUGUAUUUGAGAAAGUAGCCAACUCCCUUAACAUCAACAGAACAGAUUGAAACUCCCCUUUACAAAUAACAACACAUCAUCAGCAAAACACAAAUGAUUAAGUCUCAA